CCAAUAGCGUAUAUUAAAGUUGUUGCAGUUAAAAAGCUCGUAGUUGAAUUUCGGGGUCAGCAGGUUGGUCGUGCCACUGGUAUGCACUGGCCUCGCUGAUUCCUCCCUCUUGUAGAACCGUAAUGCCAUUAAGUUGGUGUUGCGGGGAAACAGGACUGUUACUUUGAAAAAAUUAGAGUGUUUAAAGCAGGCUAACGCUUGAAUCCAUUAGCAUGGAAUAAUGAAAUAGGACGAUCGAUCCUAUUUUGUUGGUCUCUAGGGUUGACGUAAUGAUUAAUAGGGAUAGUUGGGGGCAUUAGUAUUCAAUUGUCAGAGGUGAAAUUCUUGGAUUUAUUGAAGACUAACUACUGCGAAAGCAUUUGCCAAGGAUGUUUUCAUUAAUCAAGAACGAAAGUUAGGGGAUCGAAGACGAUCAGAUACCGUCGUAGUCUUAACCAUAAACUAUGCCGACUAGGGAUCGGAUGAUGUUAAUUCUUUAAUGACUCAUUCGGCGCCUUACG
rnacentral:rRNA from 1 species